GAUACGGUACUGUAAAUAGAAAUAGAGAUACGUUUAUUAUGGUCGCAGUAAAACUGAUCUGAACUUGACAACAUGUUUAAAAUCUACUACACUAGGAGUUUUGCAAGAGGCUUCAACAAAAUAAUUUCGAGUCAGCCAAAUCCACCAUCACAAUGAGAAGAUCUCUUUGUACAACAGUUAAAUUAACAAAAAAUGUGCAUGUGCGUAAAAAAGGCAACCAUCAAGAAAUUCGAAAGUUAAGUACCAAACCCAGUUACUACCACUGCGUUGGAGAAGAUCCUCUUAGUCACUUAACAUUGGGACAACUUUCAGAAAAGUGCAGUUACUCUUUCGGUGAUAGAACAGCUGUAGUAUCAUGUCAUCAAAAGAAAAAGCUGACAUUUCGUAGCCUUCUCGAAGAAGCUGAUAGACUAGCAGCUGGUUUCUUAAAAUUAGGAUUUCAAAAAGAAGAUCGGAUAGGCAUAUGGGCUCCAAAUCUGGUAGAAUGGUACAUAGCUUUUAUAGCAUGUGCCAGAGGAGGUUUUGUGAUGGUCUCAAUGAAUCCAUUUUACCAAGCCAACGAAGCAGAGAAUUUGAUUAAACAGGUAAAGAUAAAAGGCCUUAUAUGUGGUGAUGUGUUCCGAAAACAAGAUUACUAUCACCUAUUGAAAUCAAUUUGUCCGGAAUUAGAGGACAGCAAACCAGGCAAAAUAUAUAGUGAUAGAGUUCCAAGUUUGCGAACUGUUGUACAUAUAACUGAGGAAAACAAAAAGGGAACAUUUAAAUUUACUGAUAUACAAAAUAUGGCCGAUGAAGAUACUAUGUUACAAAUUAAAAAUUUCCAAAAUAAAAUAAAAUUUGAUGAUCCUUGCAACAUUCAAUUUACAUCGGGCACCACAGGAAUGCCAAAAGCCCCCGUACAGAGUCACUUCAAUAUUGUUAAUAACGGAUAUUUUUCUGGUAAACGGGUAGGGUUGCAUCAAAAACACCAUACAAUCUGCUUGCAAAAUCCAUUAUUUCACGUAUUUGGGACUAUAGCUACACUUACUGCAGCUGUUAACCAUGGUGCUACAAUCGUUCUACCCAACGACACUUACAAUCCAGAGAAAAACUUGAGUGCUAUUGUACAAGAAGGGUGUACUGUGAUAUAUGGAACACCCACGAUGUACGUUGAUUUAGUGUCUCAACAAAGGAAACGUAAUGAAAAUAUGAAAGCAGAAAUAGCGCUAUGUGGAGGAGCAUUGUGCCCUCCAGUAUUGUUCAAAGACAUGCUUGAUAUCCUUAAAGUAAAAGCCGUAAAAUCUAUAUAUGGACUCACUGAAACAACAGCUUCCGUAUUUUUUUCGAUGGAUAACGAAAACGAAUACUAUAGCACUCAGACUGUAGGAAAAGUUCACGAUCAUUUAGAGGUCAAAGUAGUAGACUCGGAAGGCUAUCUUGUACCAAUGGGUUCUCCUGGUGAGCUGCUUGUGCGCGGAUACACUACUAUGGUGGGAUAUUUUGAGAAUGAGGAAAAAACGAAGGAAGUUAUUGAUAAAAAUGGAUGGUUUAAGACGGGUGAUCAAUUUAUAUUAACUGAGGAUGGAUAUGGAAAAGUAGUGGGAAGAAUAAAAGAUUUGAUAAUACGAGGAGGCGAGAAUAUUUAUCCAAAAGAAAUAGAAGAGUUUUUAAUCACCUAUCCCGAUAUCAUUGAAGUUCAGGGUUUGUUCAUUACGGAGACCAUCGCAUCGUAUCCUAGCCUAGAGCUUAGUAUCCUACUCUUCAUUUUGGUGAACGCUCGCAUUUAAAAUAAUGCAUCUGGCGAUCGAUAAUGGUACGAGCAGUACGAGGGAUACCAGGGAGCGAGGGUCGGCGCCUUGUUGUGAGCACAACUUUAGCUAUACAAAGUAGUUGGAGUACCUCACGAAAGGUUAGGCGAAGAAGUAUGUGCAGCGGUUAAGACAAAAAGCGGUAAUGAAAUAACAAUUGAACAACUUUACGAAUUCUGUAAAGGAAAACUGUC
rnacentral:misc_RNA from 1 species